GCUAGGCAUAGUGGCUUACACCUGUAAUCCCAGCAAUUUGGGAGGCUGAGGCAGGAGGAUCACUUGAGCCCAGGAGUUUGAAGCUGCAGUGAGCUAUGAUUGUGCCACUGCGCUCUAGCCUGGGUGACAGAGUGAGACCCUGUCUCUA
rnacentral:SRP_RNA from 1 species